rnacentral:lncRNA from 1 species
CAGGGACAGGGCUAUGAGACAGGCUACCAUGUUCUCUGAACACUGGUUGGAGCUGCUGUGGAGAGGUUGAUGAAGUGGCUGGAGCUAGCCCACUCACAUGCCCCCUUCCAGACUUGUUACAGAAGAUGAUGAUCGGAUGCUUUGAAACAGUCACUGCACCUUUGAGGGAAGAAUGGGAUCUAGUUGGCUAAGCACCCAGGACAACUCUGGCAACUCACCGCCCCCCCCUGUGAAUCCACCUCGUCCAGGAGUACCAUUCUGCAGUAAGGACACGUAGCUCGAUGUUCUUCCUACACUCAACAGUCACGACUGGAGAGGAGGGGACAGGACAGAAGGUGCCUUAGGGAUGAGAUCUCAUGAUGGACGCACAGGACAUGGAAAGCUGCAUGAACACUGUGUCUGCUUGGAUUUGGAGAAAAACAGAGCCUUGCAGCCAUGAGUUAGAGCAUUUUCCCAUCUUCAUCUUUCAUUUGAUAGAGGGAGUGAGUAAACUGAAGGAACCAUUUUCUGUCCUAGUUGGUGACCUUCCACCUCCUUUUUUCUCCUCUCAUGUGUAUGCAAGCAUGCGUGUGUGUGUGUGUAUGUGUGUGUGUGUGUGUGUGUGUGUGUGUGUGUGUGUGUGGUGUUCAUAUGCACGUGCAUGCACCUAUGCACUGCCAUGCAGAAGAGGCCAAAGGAGGAGAAUAUGUGUGUCUUGUCUAUCACUUGCCAUCUUCUCUGUUUGAGACAGAAGCGAACAUGAAGUUUAUGUUUUCAGCUAAGCUGGCUGCGGGGCUCUGCCUGUCCCUGUCCUCCAACUUCUGGUGUAUUAGUAAUGCAGAGCCAUGCUUGGGUUUUACGUGGGUGCUGGGGAUUCAAACUC